AGAGUUUGAUCCUGGCUCAGAUUGAACGCUGGCGGCAUGCCUAACACAUGCAAGUCGAACGAGAGUAGCAAUACUCUAGUGGCGGACGGGUGAGGAAUACGUAGGAAUUUGCCCUUAAGUGGGGGGAUAGCCCGGGGAAACCCGGAUUAAUACCGCAUGAUCUCGAAAGAGCAAAGUGGGGGAUCGCAAGACCUCACGCUUUUGGAGAAGCCUACGUCGGAUUAGCUAGUUGGUGAGGUAAUGGCUCACCAAGGCGACGAUCCGUAACUGGUCUGAGAGGAUGAUCAGUCACACCGGAACUGAGACACGGUCCGGACUCCUACGGGAGGCAGCAGUGGGGAAUAUUGGACAAUGGGCGCAAGCCUGAUCCAGCAAUGCCGCGUGUGUGAAGAAGGCCUUCGGGUUGUAAAGCACUUUAAGUUGGGAAGAAAAAACUCGUCCUAAUACGAUGAGUCUUGACGGUACCGACAGAAUAAGCACCGGCUAACUCUGUGCCAGCAGCCGCGGUAAUACAGAGGGUGCAAGCGUUAAUCGGAUUUACUGGGCGUAAAGCGUGCGUAGGCGGUUUGCUAAGUCGGUUGUGAAAGCCCUGGGCUUAACCUGGGAAUUGCAGUCGAUACUGGCAGGCUAGAGAACGGUAGAGGGAGGCGGAACUCCAGGUGUAGCGGUGAAAUGCGUAGAUAUCUGGAAGAACACCGAUGGCGAAGGCAACCUCCUGGGCCUGUUCUGACGCUGAGGCACGAAAGCGUGGGUAGCAAACAGGAUUAGAUACCCUAGUAGUCC
rnacentral:rRNA from 1 species